CCUACGGGUGGCAGCAGUAGGGAAUAUUGCUCAAUGGGGGAAACCCUGAAGCAGCAACGCCGCGUGAAGGAUGAAGGAUUUCGGAUUGUAAACUUCUUUUGUCAGAGAAGAUAAUGACGGUAUCUAACGAAUAAGCACCGGCUAACUACGUGCCAGCAGCCGCGGUAAUACGGAGGGGGCAAGCGUUACUCGGAAUCACUGGGCGUAAAGAGCGCGUAGGCGGGAUAGCAAGUCAGAUGUGAAAUCCUAUGGCUUAACCAUAGAACUGCAUUUGAAACUGUUAUUCUAGAGUAUGGGAGAGGUAGGUGGAAUUCUUGGUGUAGGGGUAAAAUGCGUAGAGAUCAAGAGGAAUACUCAUUGCGAAGGCGACCUGCUAGACCAUAACUGACGCUGAUGCGCGAAAGCGUGGGGAGCAAACAGGAUUAGAUACCCUUGUAGUC
rnacentral:rRNA from 1 species